GACGAACCGUGCGAACGUUAUUCGGAUUCACUGGGCUUAAAGGGCGCGUAGGCGGCGAUUCAAGUCUGGGGUGAAAGCCUUCGGCUUAACCGGAGAAGUGCCUUGGAUACUGGAUCGCUCGAGGGGGAUAGGGGCAUGCGGAACUUCCGGUGGAGCGGUGAAAUGCGUAGAUAUCGGAAGGAACGCCGGUGGCGAAAGCGGCAUGCUGGGUCCCUUCUGACGCUGAGGCGCGAAAGCCAGGGGAGCAAGCGGG
rnacentral:rRNA from 1 species